rnacentral:rRNA from 1 species
CCUUUGACGUUAGCGGCGGACGGGUGAGUAACAGUGGGUAACCUACCUAUAAGACUGGGAUAACUUCGGGAAACCGGAGCUAAUACCGGAUAAUAUUUCGAACCGCAUGGUUCGAUAGUGAAAGGUGGUUUUGCUAUCACUUAUAGAUGGACCCGCGCCGUAUUAGCUAGUUGGUAAGGUAACGGCUUACCAAGGCGACGAUACGUAGCCGACCUGAGAGGGUGAUCGGCCACACUGGAACUGAGACACGGUCCAGACUCCUACGGGAGGCAGCAGCC